rnacentral:tRNA from 1 species
AGGACGUGUGCCCGAGCGUAGGGGUUACAUUGAUAGUGUAAAAACAGAGCUAACCCUCUCACCUCCU